GUGCCGUUGGUGUAAGGGUAACAUACAAUCUGAUCUUUAUUCUGUGUACACGUCGAUACAUAUUGGGUUGGGUCCUGGGUUCGAAUCCCGGACGGCGCA